UUGCUUGCCCUUGACAGUACAUAUAAUAAAUUGGAUACGAUACAGAGAGAAGAUUAGCAUGGCCCUACGAAAGGAUGACACGCAAAUUAGGUGGCGUUCCAUAUUUUA